AGAUGGGAGUAGCUAGUAGGUGGGGGAACGGCUCACCUAGGCGACGAUCCCUAGCUGGUCUGAGAGGCUGACCAGCCACACUGGAACUGAGACACGGUCCAGACUCCUACGGGAGGCAGCCGUGGGGACUAUUGCACAAUGGGCGCAAGCCUGAUGCAGCCAUGCCGCGGGUGUGGCGAAGGCCUUCGGGUUGUAAAGCACUUUCAGCGGGGAGGACGGCGUUAAGGUUAAUAACCUUGU
rnacentral:rRNA from 1 species